rnacentral:lncRNA from 1 species
CAGCAAGAUCAGCGUCAUCCAUCGAGGUUCAAGUGGUUUUUUCAAUUUGAUUAUCUCUGUUUACCAUGUUCUAAUUUAUUUUUCAUUUGCUGUUUGUGCGUAUCAUGUCGGCAUUUUUCGUUUCAUUCUUUUAGUGUUUGAUAUGUAUGUCACUGGUUUAAGAGUGUUGUUGUUGUUUUCAACAUGUUAUGAUUCUCGAAUGUACAGGUUUCGGUUUUGCUCAGUUUCAUAUUAAUCUUGAUAGGGGCUUCUGUUGAGCUAAGGUGGUGAUAUUUAUUUGGGUCAAUUCAGAUUGGGUUAGUGUUUGUAUUGAUGUGCGUAUUUCGGUUAUCUAUUGCGGUCUAAUUAUUCCAUGUUUGCACUGGAUUUUGAUGCUAUAAUAAUGAUGGUGUGACACUUAUGCAAUGUUGAGAAUAUAUUCUGUGUUGAUGCUAGUUUGACUUGCAUGUAAAUUACAAUCACUCUCUUGUGUUAACACCAUCUUAAAUUUAUAACAUGCUUAUAUAUUGGUAUGCUUAGACUUUACGUUUGACAGUUUUGUUAUGAAUCUUCAUAUGUCGUCAUUUUUCAUACUAAGAAAAUAGUACACUCACUUUUUCAGCUAGAAACCUCCUUUGAGUUUAAUAUUAGUCAUGGCAUGAGAAAAUGUUAUUGAUAUAAGUUAUUUAGGACUUGUUUGGUUUGAGAUAAUGUUUCUUGUGUUUACCAAUAAUUACAAGUUUCUACAAAAUUAUUACUUCAUUGUUUUCAAAAAUAAUUAAAAGGCUUUCAUUGUUUCAUAUACAAACACCAGUAUUUGAAAUAGGGAGUGCAAUGAAAAUAAGGUGGUUACUUUUGUAAGUGUUAAUGAAAACUAGAAAUGAACAUAAGGAAUUUUAACUGUAAUAAAAUAUGUUGAAGUUAGCCAUGAAUAUUCUAAUAAGUAAACUCACAUGUUAUAGUUAGGGCCAAUUGCAUUAUGUUGUUUUUCUUUUUGACUGAAAAA